rnacentral:rRNA from 1 species
AGCAGCCGCGGUAAUUCCAGCUCCAAUAGCGUAUAUUAAAGUUGUUGCAGUUAAAAAGCUCGUAGUUGAAUUUCGGGAUCAAUAUAUUGGUCAUGCUUAGGUAUGUACUGGUAUUAUUGAUUUCUCCCUUUUGAAGAACCAUGAUGUCAUUAAUUUGAUGUCGUGGGGAAUCAGGACUGUUACUUUGAAAAAAUUAGAGUGUUUAAAGCAGGCUUUCGCUUGAAUACAUUAGCAUGGAAUAAUGAAAUAGGACGUUUGAUUCUAUUUUGUUGGUUUCUAGGAUCGACGUAAUGAUUAAUAGGGAUAGUUGGGGGCAUUAGUAUUCAAUUGUCAGAGGUGAAAUUCUUGGAUUUAUUGAAGACUAACUACUGCGAAAGCAUUUGCCAAGGAUGUUUUCAUUAAUCAAGAACGAAAGUUAGGGGAUCGAAGACGAUCAGAUACCGUCGUAGUCUUAACCAUAAACUAUGCCGACUAGGGAUCGGAUGAUGUUAAUUUUUAAUGACUCAUUC